rnacentral:rRNA from 1 species
GACGAACGCUGGCGGCGUGCUUAACACAUGCAAGUCGAACGGAAAGGCCCUGCUGUUGUGGGGUGCUCGAGUGGCGAACGGGUGAGUAACACGUGAGUAACCUGCCCUGGACUUUGGGAUAACUUCAGGAAACUGGGGCUAAUACCGGAUCGGAGCUCCUGCUGCAUGGUGGGGGUUGGAAAGUUUCGGCGGUUGGGGAUGGACUCGCGGCUGAUCAGCUUGUUGGUGGGGUAGUGGCUUACCAAGGCUUUGACGGGUAGCCGGCCUGAGAGGGUGACCGGCCCCAUUGGGACUGAGAUACGGCCCAGACUCCUACGGGAGGCAGCAGUGGGGAAUAUUGCACAAUGGGCGGAAGCCUGAUGCAGAAGCGCCGCGUGCGGGAUGACGGCCUUCGGGUUGUAAACCGCUUUCGCCUGUGACGAAGCGUGAGUGACGGUAAUGGGUAAAGAAGCACCGGCUAACUACGUG